AUGCAGACACUACCUGUGAACGUGCCCCUUUCUAUGCAGAAGCUGGGGUAGUCUGCUUCUCAGUGUUGAUUGUUUCAUGGACUGGGUGGGAGUGUGUUUUCUCAUGAUGUCACAGCUUGGCCAGAAUUCCUCCCUUUCACCAUCAGCUCCACUGUGUCCAGUCUGAACCAGAGUACUGAGCCUUAAUUAGUUAUGCUCACCUCUGUAGUGAUUCUGUUCCCCAGUCCAUCCAGGCAUUAGGAAUUUUGUGAUCGUAGAAAGUAAUGCAAAAUCAAAGAAACUCCGCAGUAUUUGCAGGAAUUUCCUAUUUUUCAAAAUUACCACAGAUUUGGGCCAUGACAUGUUGUUCCGUCAUCACGAUGCUUUUUGAGCCAAAGCCCCCUUUGAUUGAUGUGUGUAUGCAAAACAAUUUUGUGCAAUUGCAAUUUCGCCAAUUUAAGUAGUUUUCCGCAAUAAAAACAAAACACCAAAAAAUCUGCAAUUUUGCAUCACAUAUUUUGAAAAAAGCUUUUUUUGACUGCUGCUAUCACAAAAAAAACGUCCCAGAAAUCCCGGCUCCUGCCACACUACACAGCUGCAUAAAAUAACCAAUGAUGAUUUUGUUUGAUUUUACGUUGAUGUGAGAAUCUUCCUGUGAUUUUUGCUAUAUGAGCUGUUUAUCUAAAAGAUAUUAAUAAUCUGCCCCUCUUGUAGGUUCUACGUCUCCAAUGAUACCAAAGUGCUCUUAGGUUCUCUUUAUUACUGGUUGCAAAACAGAAAUUCCAGGCUAAUAUCUCUCUUAUAAAAUUUUGUAUUAGAGCUAGGUUGUUCUGUACAAAUAAGUAGAAAAUGAGCCAUGUUCCCCAUUUCUAGGUUUUUUUUGCUUGGCCCAAUGGACGACAGCAGUGUGGUGAAGCUCUUUGUUGGGAAUCUGGCAUUGGAAACAACACAAGAUGACCUAAUAGCACUUUUUGCCCCUUAUGGAAAGCUGGAGACCAUUACUUUACUGAGGCAGUUUGCCUUUGUCCAUCUGCAGGGAGAAGGGGCUGCUGACUAUGCCAUCCGUGGUCUGAACGGUAUAGAGUUUCGUGGUCGCACCCUUGUUGUCGAAGAGUCUCGAGGAAGGCCUCAGAACUCUAUCAAAGUAUAUGUGGGGAACCUGAGUGCUCUGUGCACUACUGAUGAACUGCACGAACUGUUCUCUCGUUUCGGCAACGUCUUGGAGUGUGAAAAAGUGAAAACCAAACCCAACUCCUCAGUAGGUUAUACUUUUAUACACAUGGAGCAUCAAGAAAAUGCAGAGAGCGCCAUCGAGGCCCUCCACGGAACCUCCUACAUGGGCCGUCCACUCUCUGUGGAACUCUCAAAAGUCCAGCAAGCUAAGCCAGCCGCCAUGUCCAAGGUGCCCUGUGCACGUUGCGGGACACAGGGACACUUCGCAGGUGAGUGUCCCACCAGGCCGCCCAUGGAGCACCACCAGAGUCAGGCAGCCGUGCUUGCUGCUGCUGCCGCCGCUGCUGCUGGACUUCCGAUUCAAGUACAACAGAGCGUGCACAACUCUUUCUUUAACACCAACACCUCUGAUCCGACAUACGCAGCCCUAAAGGGUCUGACUGAAGCCAGUGGGUCGAGUGGUAAGCCAGUGAGCGCUGCAGUUUAUGGCGCCCUGGCAAGUCAAGUGUACGGUGCUGUGGCUGAUCAGGUCGUUAGCCAGGGAACAGAUGAUUCAGGCUACCCAGCUGCAGGAGAGACACCAUCAGCCACUGCAACCAUGAACCCUGCCUAUGGAACAAACUCCUCGGCAUAUGCAGGCCCUGCCUAUGGGACCAUGGGUGGGGCGGAGCCUGACCCGCAAGCCGUAUUUGAAGCCGCUCGGCAGCGAUUCAUCGAGCAGGGCCAGCAAGUGUUGGCUGAGCAGCAGGCCAUUACCAAAUCAGACCGGGACCGGAGCCCAGUGAGACGUUCUGCUCUGUUACCCGACCCUGUUCCUCAGCCGAUCAGUGCGGCGAGACCCAAACGCCGUGCUCUGCUGCCCACACCGCCUGGAGGACCCGAACUGCCUGCUAUUAAAGAGGGAGACCCUAUUGCGAGGUGCUAUGCAGAGUAUGUCCAGCAGUACCAACAGUACCAGCAAUACCAUCAGUACCAUCAGUAUCAACAGUACCAGUACUACUAUCCACCACCGCCGCCGCCCCCACCACCGCAGAUGCCCACCAUGCCCAUGCCACCUACAGGGCCGAUGGAUGCCAAUCACUUGGCGGCUCCUGGAACCGGCGCAUCUCCAAGAGCAAUGCACCUCAGACUGUCUUCAGUCUUUCAUUCCAACGCUGAGAGAUGGUGGGGUACUCGCACAAACACAAACACACACAUGCACAACAUGGUCUCACUGACCUCUAUUGGCCUGGAUACAGCAAACCUUUUGUAACAUAAUAGGCAACAGAUUGAAAUGACCUGCAGUAAUUCGAUUAAGGAUUACCAUUUGUAUUUUUCAGUGUAUUAUGUUAGGGGGUUGCUUUUGUUGUGUGUAAUUAACACGUUUCUGAAAGACACCUGAUAGAAAGCUUGCAGUGCCUCCUAAGUGUAUCCAGGCCCUGAUGUUUAAAAGACUCAAAAGGCAGAUAUUAUAUUGGAGUGGUCAUUGUUUUCACUCAUAACCUUUAGUGGAAUGGUGAUGGAAGGGUAGCUCUUUAUAGUGCAUCAGGCUUCCACACAUUAACGCUAAAUGUCUGUAAAUUUUUGCUAGAAAUAGUGCAUGACUGGUUACUCGUACUGUUCUUCCAGCCACAUUUUCCCUUUUCGCUAACUACAGCUAAAAUGGCUCCCGGGCCUCAGGACGCCAAGUUGCACAUGACGGGGGAAGAGAAUUAGAGUCCCACAGUGGCAUGGAUGCACUCCCCAGAAAGCAUUUUCAGUAAGACGAGACGAGAUGCGUGCACACGCUCACAACUGAGGUUCCUUGGCUGUGCUUUGAACUGUUAAGAAGACAGCACAGCUUUAAGUGGGGCGCAGUGCAAUCCAAAAGGAAAGAGGUGGGGCUGUCGCCUGGUAGGUGAGUAACCAGUGCGCCACUGUCCCACUCAAAUCUAUCCCUGCCCUCAAACCCAAACACUUCACAUGCCCCAUCACGCCACCCUUUAAAUAUUCUGUACAUCUCCAACUUCAAGCACAUGCCUCAGGGAACGAGUUCACCUACAGAAAGUAGUCAGGACCAGAGUUGCGUAUGAAGACUGAUGCAGAAAUUUAAAUGACUUAAAAACAUUUGUUUAAAAACCUUUUGAAAAGGAUUCGGUUGGGUACCUGGAGUUCUGACUGGACCAGAGUUUAGACCUUGUAACUCGUCGUUAAAUAGUCGCGUCCAACCUCUCUUGAUUUUACAGAUUAACAGUACAUGAGUGAAGCUUGAUGUCAGUUUUGAUAGUUAAAAUUUGUGUUUCCUCAUUGUCCAUGAUGUAUUUGCAGCUUCUACUUCGUAUUUCUUUCACUGAUGACGUGUGUGUAUAUAUGCUGUGAUUUGAACAACAUGAGUGUGGUUUGCACACGUAAAGCAUUGCUUAUGAUUAAUUUAGGUCACAAAAUAAUUAUUCAGGGAAUAUGCUUUAGUUGAGCUAAAUGCUACCACUUUUACUGAGAUUGGUUUUAUUCUUUUGCUACUGUCCCAGCAAAAAAAAAUAGUCAAGUCUUUGUAGUCCUUCUCUAAUCUUGUAAAACUAAAUUAAAUGCAUUUAUAAAAACGACAUUGGUGUGUGUUUUUCAUUUGUCGAGAGGUCAUAACCAUUAGUGCAUUGUACACUAUUUCCAGAGGAUAUUUUUGACAAAGGUCUGCUGUACAAGCAGAGUGUAAAGAAAGAGGCUUGCGAACAGUGUCCAUUCUGCUGGGAAAGCUGGUCUGAUGUCUACUACCUAAAAUAAGGAACACACCUUGAUCAGAAUCUUUGAAACAUAUCAAGUAGCUUUUCAUGACAAUUUAUAAGGAAUGGAAGAAAACCAUAAGGAAAUAUAAGUUUUAGUCCAAAUAAUUUAGAUAAAAAUGUACACACACUGUUCACAUUAUUAGGAACACUGGUACACCUGCACAUCAUGCAGUAAACUCUCCCAGGACAUCAGCCGUUUCUGAAAUACUCAAACCAGUCCAUCUGGUACCAGUAUCCAUGCCACAAUCAGGGUCACAGAGAUCGCACUUUUUCUUCAUUCUGAUGUUUGAUGUGAACAUUAACUGAAGCUCUUUACCUGUAUCUGCAUGAUUUUAUGCAUUGCGCUGCUGCCCUAUGAUUGGCUGAUUAGAUAAUGGCAUGAAUGUGCAGGUGUUCUGAAUAAAGUGGAUGGUGAGUGUAUAUAGUUAUUUAUGUAAAAAUAACCAAUGCUGUAUAUUUCUAAAUAUAUAUUCUAAAAUUUAGCAGUUUAUCCAAUGUAGUUUAACUUUUUUUUUUUUUUAACACGCACAACAAAAACUUAGACCCAAUUAAUUUUUUUCCAUUGUGGCACAGGUGAAGCAAAGCAUUCUUCCCAGGUUUCGUGCUAAUCAAAUUAAAAAUGCUCAAAGUCAUUGUUUAAGUUUUGAUUUUCAGUAAGUUUAGUUGUAAAGUUAAGCACAGUAAUAAAUACAUGCCUACCCUAAAUCACUAUUUAUGCUUGUCAUGGUUGCAUCCUAUCAUGAAUAGUAAUCAGGCACGUUUGGAAGUGAAUAGUGAUUACAUUUUGGACUGAAUCUGUAUUCGAGACCAGUUUUGGGUAGUUACUCAAAAAAAGUAAUCCACUACAGAUUACUAAUUACUACUUUAAAAUUAUAAUCUGAUU